rnacentral:misc_RNA from 1 species
UCUCCGUUGGUGAACCAGCGGGGGGAUCAUUACCGAGUUUACAACUCCCAAACCCCAUGUGAACCUUACCAAACGUUGCUUCGGCGGGAUGCCCCGGGCGCGGGCCGCAAGGCCCCAGCCCCGGAACCAGGCGCCCGCCGGAGGCCCAAACCAAACUCUUGUUUUUGUAGAAUCUUCUGAGUGGCCUUUUAGGCAAAAAAUGAAUCAAAACUUUCAACAACGGAUCUCUUGGUUCUG